UACGUAGGGAGCAAGCGUUGUCCGGAAUCAUUGGGCGUAAAGCGCGCGUAGGCGGCCCUGUAAGUCCGUUGUGAAAGUCAAAGGCUCAACCUUUGAAAGCCGAUGGAUACUGCAGGGCUAGAGUCCGGAAGAGGUGAGUGGAAUUCCUGGUGUAGCGGUGGAAUGCGCAGAUAUCAGGAGGAACACCAAUAGCGAAGGCAGCUCGCUGGGACGGUACUGACGCUAAGGCGCGAAAGCGUGGGGAGCGAACAGG
rnacentral:rRNA from 1 species